UGGGGAAUAUUGCACAAUGGGCGCAAGCCUGAUGCAGCCAUGCCGCGUGUAUGAAGAAGGCCUUCGGGUUGUAAAGUACUUUCAGCGGGGAGGAAGGCGAUAAGGUUAAUAACCUUGUCGAUUGACGUUACCCGCAGAAGAAGCACCGGCUAACUCCGUGCCAGCAGCCGCGGUAAUACGGAGGGUGCAAGCGUUAAUCGGAAUUACUGGGCGUAAAGCGCACGCAGGCGGUCUGUCAAGUCGGAUGUGAAAUCCCCGGGCUCAACCUGGGAACUGCAUUCGAAACUGGCAGGCUAGAGUCUUGUAGAGGGGGGUAGAAUUCCAGGUGUAGCGGUGAAAUGCGUAGAGAUCUGGAGGGAUACCGGUGGCGAAGGCGGCCCCCUGGACAAAGACUGACGCUCAGGUGCGAAAGCGUGGGGAGCAAACA
rnacentral:rRNA from 1 species